GCACCGGCUAACUCCGUGCCAGCAGCCGCGGUAAUACGGAGGGUGCGAGCGUUAAUCGGAAUUACUGGGCGUAAAGCGCAUGCAGGCGGCCUGUUAAGUCAGAUGUGAAAGGACCCGGGGCGUUAACCUACGGAAUUGCAUUUAGUAAACUAGGCAGGCUAGAGUCUUGUAGAGGGGGGUAGGAAUUUCAGGUGUAGCGGUGAAAAUGCGUAGAGAUCUGAAGGAAUACCAGUGGCGAAGGCGGCCCCCUGGACAAAGACUGACGCUCAGAUGCGAAAGCGUGGGGAGCAAACAGGAUUAGAUACCCUGGUAG
rnacentral:rRNA from 1 species